AAAGGAACAGACCUGCUUCUGUUUUCCCUUUCUGCAAACCCAGGUGGCAGUGUGGGGAUUGAGAUGCAGGCAGCCCAUGGCCAGCUGCCCUCCCGAGUCACAGGCUGGAAAAGACCCUGGGGUUGUUAGCAAUGCUCUUCCACCCAGAGAGGGUCCCGUGCUCCUUCCUGGCUAUGGGUGCCUGGGAAAAGACCUUCAAAAUGUAUUUCAAGUACAGUUAAAUUGAGUCAACUUUGCAUGUGUGGACAACUUGCCUCAAAUGAGACCAAUGAGCUGAGUUAACAAAGCCUAGUUUCUAUGGAUUUGUCUUGCAGUGGACAUAGCAGAACCUAAUAUGGGCCUUGGUGAUCAGAGCUCUUGAGGAGCAGGAUGUGCCUGUCAUCCACAUGGAUUCAGAUGCCCGAUAGAGCCUGAAUCAGCAUGCUGGUUUCCCCAACAGUGGGAGCAUCGUGCUCUGCUUUGGGUUCCUAGCAGUGCCAAGUGCCCUGGAUCUACCAAGACAAGCUGAAGGAGGCUGUGAUUCAAUGGCAGGACAUUUAAGAGCUAUGCACACCUUUGCCAGCUCUGGAAGCAUCAGUCAUGUGAUAUCAAGUGGCUGAAGUAAGCCCCAGCUCCUUGAAUGAUGGAAAUUAUUGAGAAUUUUUAAAUAUGGAAGAAACAUAGUCUCUUCCACUGGACAGCCACGGGAGGUGUCCUGGUUUCAGCUGGGAUAGAGUUAAUUUUCUUCCUAGUAGCUGCUACAGUGUUAUGUUUUGGAUUGAGUAUGAGAAGAAUGUUGAUAACACACUGAUGUCUUCAGUGGUUGCUAAGUAGUGUUUCCACUAAGUUAAGGAUUUUUCAGCUUCUCAUGCCCAGCCAGCAAGAAGGCUGGAGGGGCACAAGAAGCUGGGAGGGGACACAGCCAGGACAGCUGACCCAAACUGGCCAAAGGGGUAUUCCAUACCAUGUGACAUCAUGCCUAGUAGAUAAACUGGGGGGAGUUGGGCUGGGAGGGAUUGCAGCUCGGGAACUAACUGGGCAUCGGUCGGCAAGUGGUGAGCAAUUGCAUUGUGCAUCACUUGUUUUGUAUAUUCCAAUUCUAUUAUUAUUAUCAUUUUAUUACUGCUAUUAUUAUUAUUUUCUUCUUCCUUUCCUAUUAAACCGUUCUUAUCUCAA